rnacentral:misc_RNA from 1 species
GGCUCGCGCCCGUAGUCUGGAGAAUUAAUCGCCAGGGUUGCGUUGCGGUGUGCCCCGGUUCGAGUCUUAGCGCGCCGGAUCGGCCGGUUUCCGCGACUUCUCCAGUUUACGGGAGCGAGCCCUCUUUUUUUUUUGUUUUUUGUUGCCCAGAUGCAUCCCGUGCUGCGACAGAUG